rnacentral:misc_RNA from 1 species
CCGAGUUUACAACUCCCAAACCCACUGUGAACCUAUACCUCCCAACGUUGCUUCGGCGGGUUUCGCCCCGGAACCAGGCCUUCCCCCCUCCCCGGGGGGCGGGCCAGGACCGGAACCAGGCGCCCGCCGGGGGACCCAAACUCCUGUAUUUUGAACUUAUGGAACGUCUGAGUGGAAUCAUUGCACAAUGAAUCA